rnacentral:lncRNA from 10 species
AGUGAGCUGCCUCUCUGCGAUUGGUUUUGCCCGAGUUUUAUUUUUGUCUGUCUCAGCUAGAAAGUGGGAGACUUUCAUUUAAAAUGGAAAUUGGGGCGAGGGGUUGGCGGCUGGGCGAAGGGAGCAUUCAAAAGCGGAGAAUGUCACUUUACCCGAGAAAUUCACUACGAUGGGCCAUUGGUUUCUGCUCGGCUCGCAGGCGCACUGCACGAGUGGAGGUGUGGCUAGUGGCUGUGAUGAGAUAAAUCCAUGCAUAGCCUUUUCAUUGCGAGCUUGAAAGUUCUUUUCUAUUACAGUUUUAGCUUUAGGUUUAAUUGGUUCGACUGCCUUCUCCACAAUUUGGGCGAGAAUUUCCUUUGCCUUCUCAGCAAAAGUUGUUCUGCGGACCCGUCUGGGUCAACUUUCAUGAGGGACAUUGAGACAAACAAAUGAAAUAUGGGUUAAAGUACUCUGAGCAGCUACAAAAAGAAGACCAGUCUAUCCUGCUGGAGACAGUGGCCACGUGAAGAAAGAGCUCUUGCAGUAUGAAAGACCACAUGGAAAGAGAGGCCACAUGGAACCAACAGUCAGCAUCUUGGUUUCGGACACGUGAAGAAAUUCAUCUCAGACUGUGUAUCCUAAAUCAGGCACUUGCUGAAUCUAACUACAUGAGUGAGACCAGUUGACAACACAUGGAGCAGACAUGAGCUGUUCUCAGUGAGUCCUACACAAAUUCCUGACUCACAACACUGUGAGCAAUAAAAUGGUUGUUAUUUUAAGCCACUGAAGUUUGCAGUGAUUUCUUACAUAGGAAUAGAUAAAUGAAACACAAACAUUGAUCAUUUGCAUCUUCUAUCUUUUUUAUGACUAGUCUUAUUGGAAAUUACCAGUUUAUUUCUGCCAUGGUUAGAAAACAAACUCUGAAAUUUUGAUACUUUAAAAUUUUUUUGAGACUUACUGUGCCCAGAAUAUAGUCUAUCUUGGUGAAUGUUCUGUGAGCACUAGACAAGAAUAUGUAUUCUGUAGUUAUUGAGCAUUGUGUCCAUCAAUGUCAACGUGAUUAAGGUGGUUAAUAGUUGUCUUCAGAUCUUCUAUAUUGUAUUGAUUGUUUUAUGUGUAGUGUUGCUAUUAAUUAUUGAUACAGGAGUGUAAAACUUAAACUAUGGCUGUGAAUUUGCCACUUACUUUAGUUUUGUCAGCUUUUCUUUUGCAUUUUUGAAGCUCUGUUAUUGGGCAUAUAAACAUUUAUGGUUCGUGUGUCUUCCUGAUGAAUUGACCAUUUUAUCAUUAUGAAAUGUCUUUAUUGCUGAUAAUACUCCUUAUCUUGAAGUCUAAUUCAUCCGAUAUUAGUAUAGCCACUGCAGCCUUCCUAGCUUACUGUUUACUGGUAUAUUUUUAUCCAUGUUUUUACUUUCAACCUGUGUUUUUUAAUUUAAUGUGCUUCUCUUAUAGACAACAGAUAGUUGAGUUUGUCUAUCAUUUUGCUAUUUGUUUUCGAUUUGUCCCAUUCAGUUUUGUGUUCCUUUGUUCUUUACUUCCUGCUUUCUUUU